rnacentral:rRNA from 1 species
UACGUAGGGGGCAAGCGUUGUCCGGAUUUAUUGGGCGUAAAGAGCGUGUAGGCGGCUAGGUAGGUCCGUUGUGAAAACUCGAGCUCAACCUCGAGACGCCGGUGGAAACCAUCUAGCUAGAGUCCGGAAGAGGAGAGUGGAAUUCCUGGUGUGAGCGGUGAAAUGACGCAGAUAUCAGGAAGAACACCCGGUGGCGAAGGCGGUCUCUGUGGACUGUCGAGCUGACGGCUGAGACGACGAAGCGGUGGGAGCGAACAGG